GUAAAUUUAACUUUAAGCUAAAUUUACUCAGUGAUCAAUUGAUAUUAUUUUUUAUAUUCUUAUUUUUACUAUAAUAGCCUAAUAUCACGUCCUCGAGUAUCGAACAUGUCUCCCUCUCAGUCAUGCUGUAUUUUGUGAACUUUUCCUUUUUUUUUUUAUGUUGCAGAUAUGGCGAGUCGUGGUGCCGCCUGGUUGACCUGGCGAGACGAUCAUCUGUGCGACAAGAUCGACAAGAGAGAUCGUUAAAUUUGAUCUCAAGAUUAGAAAGAGUUUGUGCUGCUUGCUGGAGGUCAGCUGAAAGAGAAGUGCGACGUCAUGAUGAACAAGACUCAAGUGAAUCUAAUUUAAAUGUUUGUGUGAUCAUGUUCACAUUUUGAAAAAUGCAGCCCUUUGUGUUUCUGCCCA